AUACUGACCUGGCAGGGGAGAUUAACAUGAUCACUAAGGUGGUCCUCCCAGGUCAAGGGUCAUCCAUUACACUCCGGGUUACGACGACCCCUGCGAUUUCCCCAAAUGCGGGGAACUCAGCUGCAUAAUUUGUGGUAGUGGUGGAAAUGCGUUUGUGCUCCCCUCCU